rnacentral:rRNA from 1 species
UACCAGCACCCCGAGUGGUCGGGACGAUUAUUGGGCCUAAAGCAUCCGUAGCCGGUUUUACAAGUCCUCCGUUAAAUCCAACUGCUUAACAGAUGGGCCGCGGAGGGUACUAUAAGACUAGGAGGCAGGAGAGGCAAGCGGUACUCAGUGGGUAGGGGUAAAAUCCGUUGAUCCAUUGAAGACCACCAGUGGCGAAGGCGGCUUGCCAGAAUGCGCUCGACGGUGAGGGAUGAAAGCUGGGGGAGCAA